rnacentral:rRNA from 1 species
AACGAACGCUGGCGGCGUGCCUAACACAUGCAAGUCGAGCGCGAAAGGAGCAAUCCGAGUAGAGCGGCGCACGGGUGCGUAACACGUGGAUAAUCUGCCUCAGGGUUGAGGAUAACCUUCCGAAAGGUUGGCUAAUACUCGGUACGCUUACGGUGACUUCGGUCGCUGUGAGAAAACUAGACCUCUAUUUAUAAGUUUAGGCCCAGAGAUGAGUCCGCGGCCCAUCAGCUAGUUGGCGGGGUAACGGCCCACCAAGGCUACGACGGGUAGCUGGUCUGAGAGGACGAUCAGCCACACUGGAACUGAGACACGGUCCAGACUCCUACGGGAGGCAGCAGUGGGGAAUUUUCCACAAUGGGCGAAAGCCUGGUGGAGCAACGCCGCGUGUGUGAUGAAGGUCUUCGGAUCGUAAAGCACUUUCGACUGGGACGAAAAACCUUUGGCUAACAUCCAGGGGCCUGACGGUAUCAGGAGAAGAAGUAUUGGUUAACUCUGUGCCAGCCGCCGCCGUAACAC